GGGAAGUUGAAUAAGCCUGUUUCGAAAAGAUAAUUGUUCUAACAUCCGUAGCAAUUAUUUUGCCUGACCUUAACUACUGGGUACAUUUUUGGUUGCUAUUGUGUGUCUAUGCUAUUUCUCUGUGUCUGUUAUUUCUGCUCACCAAAUGCUCAAAGACUUUGUUUCUUCUCUUCCAUUUUGAAUAGCGUUCACCUUGUGCUGACACUUGGACAGGGAAGCCCAGCUGGACUCUACCCAAUCCACCUGAGCCUUCCAGAGGAUUUUUCAGAGACUACUCUUAAUGAUAACUGGUCUGCUCAAAAAGUGGGAAGCAGCAGAGAGUAACAACAUAUUCCAGUAGCUCUCUCACUAAAUCUUUUGCAAGACUGAAUGUACAGUUCUAGGGAAAGCUUCUAGGAGGUAUGUAUAUAGUUGCAAUUAUUGUCUUUUAAAGAAUAUAUGCGAUUACAGAAGAGUGCAA
rnacentral:lncRNA from 1 species